CCUACGGGAGGCAGCAGUGAGGAAUAUUGGUCAAUGGGCGGGAGCCUGAACCAGCCAAGUCGCGUGAGGGAUGACGGCCCUAUGGGUUGUAAACCUCUUUUGCCGGGGAGCAAAGUGCCGCACGUGUGCGGUUUGGAGAGUACCCGGAGAAAAAGCAUCGGCUAACUCCGUGCCAGCAGCCGCGGUAAUACGGAGGAUGCGAGCGUUAUCCGGAUUUACUGGGUGUAAAGGGCGUGUAGGCGGGAAAGCAAGUCAGAUGUGAAAACCAUGGGCUCAACCUGUGGCCUGCAUUUGAAACUGUUUUUCUUGAGUACUGGAGAGGCAGACGGAAUUCCUAGUGUAGCGGUGAAAUGCGUAGAUAUUAGGAGGAACACCAGUGGCGAAGGCGGUCUGCUGGACAGCAACUGACGCUGAGGCGCGAAAGCGUGGGGAGCAAACAGGAUUAGAUACCCGGGUAGUC
rnacentral:rRNA from 1 species